rnacentral:misc_RNA from 1 species
UCAGUCACCACUCACCAGCACUGGUCCAGCAAAUGCAAACCUAUUAGCUAAUGCAUACGAUAAUUAGGCGAUAAUAAAAUCGUUGUGAGCACGGAAGUAUAAAAAAAUUGCUGUGGGUCACUGUUUGUACCUCCUUUCUCCUUUAGUACCUAAUACUGUUUAGGUCUUAAGUCUCAACAUAACUACGUCUUCGCAAUUCCAAAUUAAGUUCCUGGCUAAUCCUGCACGCUAUCAGGUUAUCAUUGAAUUUCUUAGUUUAAUCAGACACAGAUAGAACUGCAAUGUAUCGUAACUAGUGAUCACGAGAUUCACGAGCAUUAGCAGUAGUUGCGUAUCAAACACAAGAUCCAGCAAAAGAUGUCUUUAGGCGGCGCAAAGUACGUAUGGGUAGAGGCAAAGCAAGAACAGGAACUAACAGAGAAUGUGAAGAUGGAAUUUAAAUCAGAGCCGAAGGAGAUGUGUGUUGUCGAUGAAAUAGCUGGGGCUGGCUUGUACGUAAAGCAAGAGGAGCCUGAGAGUGUACAAGAUGGGCAUUUAAAGCAGGAACCAGAGGUUAAGGCAGAAGCUGAGAACUUGGCUGAUAUAUUUGAACCAGCUUUGCAAGCCGGCUUAUGCAAUGGCCAGGAAAGCGCACUUUGUCACAUGGACCCUGUAGUGAAGGCAGUAUUGAAGGAAGAGGCUGAAAGAGUUGGCUCGGAGCAUGAGAGUAAAUACAGUAGUUGGAUAGAGCCUGUGGUUCUAGAUUAUGAAUUUGAGAGUGAGAAGACUGUGAGUAGUAUGAGCACGGCAGAGCAGGCAGGCCUUUAUCUGAAACAUGAGGUUGAAGAUGGGCUAGUGGUGGGCCCCGAGGAAUACCAUAGAGCAACACUCAACAAGCAAGCAGCAUGGAAUCCAGCACCAGAUAAAACCUGCACUGUUAGUCUGGAGCGCAUGCAUAUAGACAUGGAGCGCUCAGUGUGCAGAGUCGGACCCAAUACUUACAAGUUUAUACUGUGCAGUCAUCAGGAAAAUGAUACAAGUCCAAAAGAAGGGUCAAUGACACACACUUUAACGAAACAAAUGACGAGUGGAUGCGGCUGGUUGACGAGUUGAGUGACUGUGAUAUGGAUGUGGAUCAAGACGACGAAGCAGUUAGCCACAUUGCGAAUAUGUCAGCGCGCAACGCUUUAAUAGGACCUGCCACAGAAGCUGAUUUAACAGAUUUUGAGGUCCAAGUGCUGGCGGCAGAAGACCAACUAAACGACCAGGCACUACGCGAAAUAGUAUCUACGGCCGACUACAAUUUUGAGUGGGACGAAGAUAUACGAAUAUUUAAAGGACAGAGAGAAAUAUUUACAGCUUCUUCAGGACCGACAUUCCAAGUAACAGAUCAAACCCGUGCCGUAGAUAUUUUUUAUAAAAUGUGUGACAGUGACUUACUGGACCUACUUUGCUUGGAGACAAAUAGUAGCAUUAGUCGGCGCGGCUGGAGCGGACGCGGAGCCGGCGCCGUCAGUGUCCUUGCGCGCCAGACAGCAGCUCGCGAUGGCUUGCUGCGUGAGGCUCACGCGCCUCCGCGACUACGACUCUCCGCACGCGAGCCAGUCCGCCACUGUGCAGCGGAAGCCCCGCACACAACCCUACACCUGCGAUACUCGCCAGGCGCACUUCACACACAAGUCUAAGUUACUCACACAUAUACAGAACCUUUGUAAACGAAAAAACAAACUUGAAAUCCUCUUAGUUAAGCGCACUAGAAUGGAACCUCAUGUAUGUCACGUGUGUAAAAAGUGGUUUAUACUAAAAGAAAAUUUAAAAACACAUUUGAAAAUUCACAGUGAAUUUAAAUUUUACUCAUGUAACUUAUGUCGCAAGCGAUUUACACGAGAAGAAAGCUUAAUUAUGCAUACAAGAAUCCACACUGGAGAGAGGCCAUAUACAUGUAAGAUUUGUAACAUGCGGUAUACACAAAAAGGGAGUUUAAACGCACAUAGAAAAAAAGCCCAUGACGGAACCUUAUCAAAGGUUUAGCCUACGACAUGCAUUUAACACAGAAAAAAAAAUAGUUGGAUUAAAAUCAUUGUGGAGAAAAUAAGAACCAGUUUCCAUCACAGUCGGAGUUAGACAGACACAAGAGGAUCCACUCCGGAGAGGAGUCGUACGAGUGCGAGAUAUGCGAAUCUUUAUUUUAUUUUGUUUCAUGGAAAACCAACAGCGCUAUACACCGUGUUUCACUUAACACUGAAAACCUGAAAACCGUUCAGAAUCGAGAGUAGAAUCGAUUGAGCUAUAUCUU